UACGUAGGUGGCAAGCGUUGUCCGGAUUUACUGGGCGUAAAGAGCGCGCAGGCGGUCGUUCAAGUCGCGUGUGAAAGCCCCCGGCUCAACUGGGGAGGGUCACGCGAUACUGAUCGACUCGAAGGCAGGAGAGGGUAGUGGAAUUCCCGGUGUAGUGGUGAAAUGCGCAGAGUAUCAGGAGGAAUACCGAUGGCGAAGGCAGGUCUCUGGGCUGACACUGACGCUCAUGCACGAAAGCGUGGGGAGCAAACAGG
rnacentral:rRNA from 1 species